rnacentral:rRNA from 1 species
AAAUUGAAGAGUUUGAUCAUGGCUCAGAUUGAACGCUGGCGGCAGGCCUAACACAUGCAAGUCGAACGGUAACAGGAAACAGCUUGCUGUUUCGCUGACGAGUGGCGGACGGGUGAGUAAUGUCUGGGAAACUGCCCGAUGGAGGGGGAUAACUACUGGAAACGGUAGCUAAUACCGCAUAACGUCGCAAGACCAAAGAGGGGGACCUUCGGGCCUCUUGCUAUCGGAUGUGCCCAGAUGGGAUUAGCUAGUAGGUGGGGUAACGGCUCACCUAGGCGACGAUCCCUAGCUGGUCUGAGAGGAUGACCAGCCACACUGGAACUGAGACACGGUCCAGACUCCUACGGGAGGCAGCAGUGGGGAAUAUUGCACAAUGGGCGCAAGCCUGAUGCAGCCAUGCCGCGUGUAUGAAGAAGGCCUUCGGGUUGUAAAGUACUUUCAGCGGGGAGGAAGGGAGUAAAGUUAA